rnacentral:lncRNA from 1 species
AACGCGGCGCAUGAGGUCUACACUGCGGCUGCGCAGUUCGCCACCGAGCGUGCGGCUCGUACUGCGCCUGCUCAGACGCGGUGCGCACGCCCCGGGUGGCUCCGGCCUCAAAUUCCCCCAGCCCCAGACGUCGUUUGCAGCCUACGGUUUCCG